GAAGGACAGAGGACCCUGGGCUGUAAUACGCAACAUCACCGUCACCGUGAACCCAAUCAGGAAACAGACAGGAGCUCUUGUGGCCGGCAUAAUAUUCUCCGUGAUUCUCCUCGCUGGCAUAGUUUUCCUGGCAAGACCAGUGAUGGCAAACUAUCAAGCACGUCAGGUUCAAAUGAAGAAGCAAAGGAACUCCAAUGGGGAAAAUGGCCACACUGAUCCAGAUUGCUCUCCCUAUGCUGUGGGCUACAGGCAGCCGGAACCUUACUCUGUGGUACCGAUCAGGACACAGAUGGACAGUGCUGUGGGCUUCAGGCAGCCGGAACCUUACUCUGUAGUACCCAUCAGGACACAGAUGGACAGUGCUGUGUCCUCACCAGCAGGACCCAGUGGACAGACCUCAGAUAUGCCUGAACCUUACUCUGUCAUUGCACUCAACAAUAUAGCGUAAAACAACAGGUACCUCGGUCUAGAACCUCAAAGAUCCAGGUAGCUUAAAACAACAGGUACCCCGGUCUAGAACCUCAAAGAUCCA
ensembl:lncRNA